GAUGAACGCUGGCGGCGUGCUUAACACAUGCAAGUCGAACGAAGUGGCGAACGGGUGAGUAACGCGUAAUCAACCUGCCCUUCAGAGGGGGACAACAGUUGGAAACGACUGCUAAUACAGCAUACUGAUGGGGGGGUGUGCGUGUGAGUAGCUAGUUGGAGGGGAAACGGCCCACCAAGGCGAUGUUCAGUAGCCGGUCAGAGAGGAUGAACGGCCACAUUGGGACUUCGACACGGCCCAGACGCCUACGGGAUGCAGCAGUGGGGAAUCGUCCGCAAUUGACGAAAGUCUGACGGAGCAACGCCGCGUGAGUGAUGACGGCCUUCGGGUUGUAAAGCUCUGUUAAUCGGGACGCGGUACCGGAAUAGAAAGCCACGGCUAACUACGUGCCAGCAGCCGCGGUAAUAC
rnacentral:rRNA from 1 species